rnacentral:lncRNA from 1 species
AUUCUUCUUUCAAUACAACAAAGUGUUACUUUACUGCCGAAAAUGAGGGCAAAUGAGUACAAUAAUGGAUGAUUUUAGUGACGUUUGGCGAUAAACAAUGAUUUUAAACAAAUUCGCAAAAAUAAUUUUUUCACUUCGUACAAAUUUUUUUUAGAUCCUUUGGGCCUUUUUUCCCUAAAAUUGACUGUUGUUGAGUUAUUAACGACUUAAAUUUUGAAAAACGCCAAAUAACCAUUUUUAAGGUUUAAUAACUCGGUUAAAGAUAAUUAUAGUGAAAGUCGAGCGAGUAACGGCGUAAAGAGAUAGUGGAGUAACGGCAUAAUCGCCGGCCUCAUACGCCAGUGCACGUUGGUUCGAGCCCUGCCAAAGACCAUUUUCAUUUCCAAUUGUAACCCUUAUAGUAGGGUUAUAUUUUUUUUUUGUACUAAAAUUUGAUUGAUGAAGAGAAAGGAGUAGUGAGAAGGAGUAGGCACAAAACCCGCAGAUUUAAUCGCAUACAGUAAUCUAAAAUUGAGAUAGAAAUCAGAACCUAAUAAACAUAUACCUAUAACCCAAAAUAUAUAAUUGUGUGGAUACAAGUGCCAGUACAGGAUAUCAUAAUAAUUAUAAGAUACCAAAAAAUAUGUAACGUAUAAAAAUGUAAAAAUUCAGUUUAUUAAAUAUUAACGUCACCUUCAAUAAACAUUUAUAUUACCUUUUAACUUAUGUUCGUAUACCACCCAACAAUUAAUGCUAUAUCCUCAAUUCUAAAAUAAUUUCCCUUACACCUGUAUACUCUCUCAAAAAAAAA